rnacentral:rRNA from 1 species
AACGAACGCUGGCGGCAUGCCUAACACAUGCAAGUCGAACGAGACCUUCGGGUCUAGUGGCGCACGGGUGCGUAACGCGUGGGAAUCUGCCCUUGGGUUCGGAAUAACAGCGAGAAAUUGCUGCUAAUACCGGAUGAUGACGUAAGUCCAAAGAUUUAUCGCCCAAGGAUGAGCCCGCGUAAGAUUAGCUAGUUGGUGGGGUAAAGGCCUACCAAGGCGACGAUCUUUAGCUGGUCUGAGAGGAUGAUCAGCCACACUGGGACUGAGACACGGCCCAGACUCCUACGGGAGGCAGCAGUGGGGAAUAUUGGACAAUGGGCGAAAGCCUGAUCCAGCAAUGCCGCGUGAGUGAUGAAGGCCUUAGGGUUGUAAAGCUCUUUUACCCGGGAUGAUAAUGACAGUACCGGGAGAAUAAGCUCCGGCUAACUCCGUGCCAGCAGCCGC